GACGAACGCUGGCGGCGUGCUUAACACAUGCAAGUCGAACGGAAAGGCCCUGCUUUUGUGGGGUGCUCGAGUGGCGAACGGGUAAGUAACACGUGAGUAACCUGCCCUUGACUUUGGGAUAACUUCAGGAAACUGGGGCUAAUACCGGAUAGGAGCUCCUGCUGCAUGGUGGGGGUUGGAAAGUUUCGGCGGUUGGGGAUGGACUCGCGGCUUAUCAGCUUGUUGGUGGGGUAGUGGCUUACCAAGGCUUUGACGGGUAGCCGGCCUGAGAGGGUGACCGGCCACAUUGGGACUGAGAUACGGCCCAGACUCCUACGGGAGGCAGCAGUGGGGAAUAUUGCACAAUGGGCGGAAGCCUGAUGCAGCAACGCCGCGUGCGGGAUGACGGCCUUCGGGUCGUAAACCGCUUUCGCCUGUGACGAAGCGUGAGUGACGGUAAUGGGUAAAGAAGCACCGGCUAACUACGUG
rnacentral:rRNA from 1 species